rnacentral:lncRNA from 10 species
CUAGAACGAAGCAAGCAGAGGAAGGUGGGAUAAGCUGGCUUGCUGAGUUUUCUAACUUUCAUCUUUUUCCCAUGCUGGAUGCUUCCUGCCGUUGGACAUCAGACUCCAGGUUCUUCGGGGACUCUUGGACUUACACCAGCGUUUUGCCGGGGGCUCUGUCGGCUGCACUGUCAGUUUCCCUACUUUUGAGACUUUUGGACUCGGACUGAGCCACUACUGGCUUCCUUCUUUCUCAGCUUGGAGACAGCCUAUCAUGGACUUCGCAUUGUGAUCGUCAUGUAAAAAAAUGAUGGUACUUGACAGUCCAGCUGCCACAAUGCUUUCAAAAAACUGGAUUUCUACUGGAUUCUUCAAGAUUACAAAGUUACAGCCUUAACAAACAGUUUGCUGAUAGGCUGUGGGGAGAGUGGAGAAAGAUGAGGUUGGACAAAAAAG